rnacentral:snRNA from 1 species
ACUAAUUAGCACAUUCAACUAACAGUUGAAGUGUCUAUUCUUCUCAGUUUAAUAUCUGAUAUGUGGGUCAUUGAUCCACUAUGAUAUUAUAUUAAUUUAUUGUGAGGGAGGGCUCAUCACAAUAGCACCAAUCCCACUUACUAAAAUGGUUGAGAGUUUGAAACAUC